CUCAAAUCAGGUAGGACUACCCGCUGAAUUAA
rnacentral:rRNA from 1 species